GUUGUAUAGUCAAGUAAUUAAGUGCAUGUGGUGGAUGCCUUGGCAGUCAGAGGCGAUGAAAGACGUAAUAGCCUGCGAUAAGCUUCGGGGAGGCGGCAAAUAUCCUGUGAUCCGGAGAUUUCUGAAUGGGGAAACCCACUUACCAUAAGGUAGGUAUCGCAUGA
rnacentral:rRNA from 1 species